CUCCCACGUGCAGGGUUUGCA
rnacentral:miRNA from 1 species